rnacentral:rRNA from 2 species
UACGUAGGGUGCAAGCGUUAUCCGGAUUUACUGGGUGUAAAGGGCGCGUAGGCGGGAAUGCAAGUCAGAUGUGAAAUCUGUGGGCUCAACCCACAAACUGCAUUUGAAACUGUGUUUCUUGAGUGAUGGAGAGGCAAGUGGAAUUCCUAGUGUAGCGGUGAAAUGCGUAGAUAUUAGGAGGAACACCAGUGGCGAAGGCGACUUGCUGGACAUUAACUGACGCUGAGGCGCGAAAGCGUGGGGAGCAAACAGG